GACGAACGCUGGCGGCGUGCUUAACACAUGCAAGUCGAACGGAAAGGCCCUGCUUUUGUGGGGUGCUCGAGUGGCGAACGGGUGAGUAACACGUGAGUAACCUGCCCUUGACUUUGGGAUAACUUCAGGAAACUGGGGCUAAUACCGGAUAGGAGCUCCUGCUGCAUGGUGGGGGUUGGAAAGUUUCGGCGGUUGGGGAUGGACUCGCGGCUUAUCAGCUUGUUGGUGGGGUAGUGGCUUACCAAGGCUUUGACGGGUAGCCGGCCUGAGAGGGUGACCGACCACAUGGGAACGGGGAUACGGCCCAGACUCCUACGGGAGGAAGCAGUGGGGAAUAUUGCAAAAGGGCGGAAGCCUGAUGCAGCAACGCCGCGUGCGGGAUGACGGCCUUCGGGUUGUAAACCGCUUUCGCCUGUGACGAAGCGUGAGUGACGGUAAUGGGUAAAGAAGCACCGGCUAACUACGUG
rnacentral:rRNA from 1 species